rnacentral:rRNA from 1 species
UUCGAUGAUACGCGAGGAACCUUACCUGGGCUCGAACGUAAGAUGACUGUAGGUGAAAGCUUACAUCUCUUCGGAGCAUUUUACGAGGUGCUGCAUGGUUGUCGUCAGCUCGUGCCGUGAGGUGUCGGGUUAAGUCCCAUAACGAGCGCAACCCCUACCUUAGUUGCCAUCAGGUUAAGCUGGGGACUCUAAAGGAACUGCCUACGCAAGUAGUGAGGAAGGCGGGGAUGACGUCAAAUCAGCACGGCCCUUACGUCCAGGGCUACACACGUGCUACAAUGGCCGAUACAGAGGGCAGCUACCUGGUGACAGGAUGCAAAUCUCCAAAGUCGGUCUCAGUUCGGAUCGGAGUCUGCAACCCGACUCCGUGAAGUUGGAUUCGCUAGUAAUCGCGCAUCAGCCAUGGCGCGGUGAAUACGUUCCCGGGCCUU